AAUGGACAAAGGACUUAGAUUUUAGGACCUUACCUAUGCUAAUGGAGUUUGAAGAGCAACUAGGCCUCAUGCCUUUAGAAUGCUUUAAAAUUGUCAAAGAGCAACUAGGCCUCAUGCCUUUAGAAUGCUUUAAAAUUGUCAAAGAGCAACUAGGCCUCAUGCCUUUAGAAUGCUUAAUCUUGAAGAUGAACUUGAAAGGAUCCUAAUUCUAAAACUCACUCUUGUCCAUUCUUUAUUUGUAUUGUGGAACUUUUUGAUUU
rnacentral:lncRNA from 1 species